GAGGGUAUAGCUCAAGUGGUAGAGCACAUGCUUUAGCAUGUAUGAGGUCCUGGGUUCAAUCCCCAGUACCUCCU
rfam:Camelus ferus unplaced genomic scaffold scaffold1178, whole genome shotgun sequence.